UACGGAGGAUCCGAGCGUUAUCCGGAUUUAUUGGGUUUAAAGGGUGCGUAGGCGGCCAGUUAAGUCAGUGGUGAAAUCCUGUCGCUCAACGAUAGAAUUGCCAUUGAUACUGAUUGGCUUGAGUCCAGUUGAGGUAAGCGGAAUGUGUAGUGUAGCGGUGAAAUGCUUAGAUAUUACACAGAACUCCGAUUGCGAAGGCAGCUUACUAAGCUACAACUGACACUGAAGCACGAAAGCGUGGGGAUCAAAC
rnacentral:rRNA from 1 species